rnacentral:lncRNA from 1 species
GCACUGUUGAAGUCCGAUUGGCACUGUUGAAGGUUGAUGGCUGGAGAGAUACGAAAGACACCGGAGACAGUCGGUCACUAUAGAAAUCUAACUGCUAGAGUAUGUCCGUUGUAGAAGUUCGUCUGGAAUCCAUCCACUGUAGAAGUUUGGAUGGAGUCCGGUUCUUACAGAAGUCCAGAAGGAGGCCGCUUACUGUAGAAGCUCGGAUGG